rnacentral:sRNA from 14 species
GAGGAAGCCGGUGUGAAACCGGCGCGGUCCCGCCACUGUGACCAGGGAUGAUCCCUGGGAGUCAGGAACUC